AAAUUCAAAAUGCACAUGGCGUUAUGGAUAUACUUCCAGAAAUGCUAAGUGCAUUAGAUCCAAGCAACAAAGAGGCUGUUAGGCAGGAUGUUAUUGAGAGUGGUAAAUCUUGUUAAUUCAACUGCAGAUGAAUCACUGCUAUGUCAAGGCUUAGCACUGAAUGAUGACUUGCAGCGUGUACUAGUCAAGCAUGAAUCGAUUGCUGUGGGGAAAUCUGCUUGAGUGGAGAAGCCAAAGCCUGAACCUAGUGGGGCACUUGUAGAUGUAG